GACGAACGCUGGCGGCGUGCUUAACACAUGCAAGUCGAACGGAAAGGCCCUGCUUUUGUGGGGUGCUCGAGUGGCGAACGGGUGAGUAACACGUGAGUAACCUGCCCUUGACUUUGGGAUAACUUCAGGAAACUGGGGCUAAUACCGGAUAGGAGCUCCUGCUGCAUGGUGGGGGUUGGAAAGUUUCGGCGGUUGGGGAUGGACUCGCGGCUUAUCAGCUUGUUGGUGGGGUAGUGGCUUACCAAGGCUUUGACGGGUAGCCGGCCUGAGAGGGUGACCGGCCACAUUGGAGCUGGGAACCGGCCCAGACUCCUGCGGGGGGCAACAGGGGGGAAUAUUGAAAAAGGGGGGGAAGCUGGAAGCAGCAAGCCCGGGGGGGGGAGGAGGGCCUUCGGGUGUUAAACCGGUUUCGCCUGGGAAGAAGCGGGAGGGACGGUAAGGGGGAAAAAAGCACCGGCUAACUACGU
rnacentral:rRNA from 1 species